rnacentral:rRNA from 1 species
UACGUAGGGUGCGAGCGUUGUCCGGAAUUAUUGGGCGUAAAGAGCUUGUAGGCGGUUUGUCGCGUCUGCUGUGAAAAUCCGGGGCUCAACCCCGGACUUGCAGUGGGUACGGGCAGACUAGAGUGUGGUAGGGGAGACUGGAAUUCCUGGUGUAGCGGUGAAAUGCGCAGAUAUCAGGAGGAACACCGAUGGCGAAGGCAGGUCUCUGGGCCACUACUGACGCUGAGAAGCGAAAGCGCGGGGAGCGAACAGG